GACGAACGCUGGCGGCGUGCCUAACACAUGCAAGUCGAGCGGGGUUGAGGCGAGAGGUAACUCGAGCUUCUACCUAGCGGCGGACGGGUGAGUAACGCGUGGGCAACCUGCCUCAAGGUUUGGGAUAACAGCCCGAAAGGGCUGCUAAUACCGGAUAUGCCUAUGGCCUCGCAUGGGGCUAUGAGCAAAGGGGAAACCCGCCUUGAGAUGGGCCCGCGUCCCAUCAGCUAGUUGGUGAGGUAACAGCUCACCAAGGCGACGACGGGUAGCCGGCCUGAGAGGGUGACCGGCCACACUGGGACUGAGACACGGCCCAGACUCCUACGGGGGGCAGCAGUGGGGGAUCUUGCACAAUGGGCGAAAGCCUGAUGCAGCGACGCCGCGUGAGCGAAGAAGGCCUCGGUUGUAAGCUCUGUCUGGAGGGACGAACAAAAUGACGGUACCUCCGGAGGAAGCCACGGCUAACUACGUGCCAGCAGCCGCGGAACUACGGUCUCUA
rnacentral:rRNA from 1 species